GGAGCGGAUCCACACAGACAAGAGCUCUCGAAGAAGCGAGGGGUUUCCCAUAGGAGCUGUAGCCAGCUGGGGCCCUGGCAGCAUCUCCCCUCCUAGAGCCAGGCUGCGCUGCUCAGGAGCAGCCGAGCUGUAUUUAAUCUGCACCACCACAUUAGGAAGUUGGAAGCUGGCUGGAGGUGGGGCCGGUUUGACUGUGGAACGUAAGCUGGGCUCAAGUUGCUCCUUCCUGGGAUCUGUUGUUCUCGGUGGCUUGAUUCAAAGAUCUUUCCCUGGAGUUGUUGCCACUGGAGUGGGGCAGCCCUGCAGUCUCCUGUGAUCGAUGAGCCUGGCUGAAGAAUCUGACGACUGGACUAACGUCUGUCUUCACCCCCAAACAUCACAGGCUCUAGCCGCCCUCGUCCUCUCUCCUGCCCAGCUGUUGGAAAGCAGGGACGGUCUGGGGAGGGAUGACAGCUGCAUCUUGCAUUCCGCGGCGCUCGCGAGAACACUGGCCACGUGGAUGCAAACUUCCCUCGCCUGAUUUUUGGUGAUGCCAUCUGCCCAUGCUCGGAGUAGAGCUCAGUUGGUAGUCGUAGCGGAGGAGGAGUGGAAGCCAAGGGCCUUGGUAUCCCGGAAAGGCGUCUCUGGGAGAAAUACCUGACGUCAGUGCCAGGUGAGUCUCACUUUCAUCAGCACUAGAAUAGGGGAAGGGUAAAUGGCUGUCCUCAAGCAUGGGUCAAUUACAGAGCUAGCCACCCUUCUCUAAGGCUAAAGUGGAGGAGCAGUUAAGCCCCUCUCUGUAGUGAUAGCUGGAGCCAAUAGAAGCCAUCGCCCAAGGCAAUUAGUUGCAUGCCAAAGCCUGAGUGGAAUUAAAUGAUGUGGUCUGAGGGGUUUCCCUGGGGACUGAUUGCAAACACAGGGGGUAGGGGAAAGGGGAAGUUGCAUGGCAAGCUGUGUGCCGGAGGGAGAAAGCCAGCAGGCACUGAGAAAAGCAUGUCCCUGAGACAGGGCAGAGGGACAGAGCUCCUUGGGGCACAGGACUGGCAAGAGGCAGGCUUGGAAAUAGCGAGCCAGGAACCUGCCUGCUGUCGUUUCCUUGAUCACAGUAGAAACAAACAGGACAUUAUGUGCAUAAGAAGUCAGGACUUUGUGCAUUCUGUGUAAAUAAACAGGAUUGCACCAAAGAACUACCUGACGCGUGGCAUCAGUUUUUCCUCCACAUGGAAACAAGCCUGGCCGUGCUUAACCGCUUGGGCAAAGGGGAAGCGGUAGCGACAACAAUAUUGUAGAACUACAGCGGCUGGCACAGCAGAGCUUGAGUGCACCUCGGAGCCAGCGACCAAAGAGGCAGAGAAAGCGUCAAGGGUCGAAGAAAGAAAAGAUACUCCACUAACCUGAAACUUGGAGACGGGGAAGGGGACAUCGGGACAAAGCAUAAGAGAGGAGUCCCGGGUUCAUACUUCAGACUCUUGCAAAAAACGCUCUGGCAGUGCACGCUGAGGAAAUAAAGACAAAUCAGACCCAUUUUGAGCUAUUUAUCUCACCCUUCAAUCCUCUCCCCAGCCCCCGCAUUGGAACAAGGCCUCUGCCACCCCAGUCCUAAGAUCUCCCUCCCCUCCCAGCCAUCCUCCCGGCUCCGAUCAGCUCCUGGUUCUCACUUUCCAGCCUGGGCCUGACUCGGUUCCCUGCUAGCUGUAGGAACGAGGAGGGGAGGGACGCUGGGAGCCCCAGCUGGGUUUCUGGAGUGGGGGGCAGGCCCCCGUCUGUGUCUCUUUCCAGGACCUGCUCUAUGCCCAAGC